rnacentral:misc_RNA from 1 species
GGAAACAGUGAGUAGCAUGAAACUGCAUAUAAAGUAUCACAUUCAACAUCAGUUAAUAGAACCAGUGAUUAGAGCCUAUCCCCUCCCCCCUAAAAAACCCACAUAAAAUUAACAUUUAGCACAAAUUAUAAACUGAAAGGGAAACCAAAAAUCCAGGAUUAAAUAAAUAGAGUAUAAAGGAAAAAGAGAUGUUCAAUAAAAAGAGUGAACAACGUACACCAAUGCUAGCAAGUGUGAUAU